GACGAACGCUGGCGGCGCGCCUAACACAUGCAAGUCGAGCGAUGAAAUUUUAACCGAUCUCUUCGGAGAGAAGAGAAAAUGGAUUAGCGGCGGACGGGUGAGUAACCCGUGAGUAACCUGCCUUUCACAAGGGGAUAGCCACGGGAAACCGGGAUUAAUACCCUAUGACACAUUUCCUUCGCAUGGAAGAAAUGUUAAAACUACGGGGGUGCAAGAUGGUCUCGCGCCUGAUUAGCUAGUUGGUGGGGUAACGGCCCACCAAGGCCAUGAUCAGUAACCGGCCUGAGAAGGUGCACUGUCACAUUGGAACUGAGACACGGUCGGAAAUCCUACGGGAAGCAGCAGAAGGGUAUAUUGCCCAAUGGAGGAAGCUCUAGUGCAGCGACGCCGUGUGAGCGAUUAAGGCUUUCGAGUCGUAAAGCUCUGUCCUAUGGGAAGAUAAUGACGGUAACAUAGGAAGAAGCCCCGGCUAACUACGUG
rnacentral:rRNA from 1 species